rnacentral:rRNA from 1 species
UGGAAAACUGGGGAUAAUACCCGAUAGAUCUCGGCUGCUGGAAUGCACCGAGUUCUACAGCUCCGGCGCUCAAGGAUGGUUCUGCGGCCUAUCAGGUAGUAGUGGGUGUAGCGUACCUACUAGCCUACGACGGGUACGGGUUGUGAGAGCAAGAGCCCGGAGAUGGAUUCUGAGACACGAAUCCAGGCCCUACGGGGUGCAGCAGGCGCGAAAACUUUACAAUGCUGGAAACAGCGAUAAGGGGACCUCGAGUGCCAGGUUACAAAUCUGGCUGUCGUGAUGCCUAAAAAGCAUUGCAUAGCAAGGGCCGGGCAAGACCGGUGCCAGCCGCCGCGGUAACA